GGUUAAUCUGUUUGAUUAAGAAAUUUUGCUUAGCUUUCUCUACUUAAUCUCCUUUGUAUUCUUUUUGUUACUAAUGGGAAUAAACUUCUUAUUUUGGUUGACUUCCAUCAAAAUUUGCAGGUCCAUUGGAAUUUGAUAAGUCCAAAAAAGUGAUUGAAGUGCCUCGAGUUUCCCAAAGAAGUCCGUUUGAAUCUAGAAAGG